rnacentral:rRNA from 1 species
AUGGCGCACGAUCCCAGCCUAGUAGGGUACGCCGACUACUUCGCGGCGACGGGGAGCAACGGGGGCGGCGUCACGCUCGUGCCGGAGGUGGACGCCCGUGCGGAGCAUCAGAUGUAUGGCGGCGGAUUGCACCAUCAUCACUCCGGGGUGGACAUGUUCGGGGCCAGGGGCUUCGGCAUGGCGCCGGCCGGCGAGGCGACGUCCGCGCAGAGCAAGGCCGCGCUUGACGUCGACGUCGACGGCUCGUCUACCAUCAGCUUCUUUCGCGGCGAGCAGCAUCACCACCACCACCAGCAGCUGCAGAUGGGCCAGGCUCCCUUGUCGCUGUCGCUCCACGGGCAGCCGGACGCCGGGUCGUCGUCGUUCAUGCUGCACCACCAGCUCGGCGGCGGCGAGCCCCGGCUGCAGCAGCACCAGCAGACGGCGCCGGCGGCAUGGCAGGUGCAAGGCGCCGGCAGCGGCUGGCAGCUGCGCGGGUCCCGGUUCCUGCUGCCGACGCAGCAGCUCCUGCAGGAGUUCUGCAGCAUCCCCGCGGACACCGACAGCAAGGCGCCCAAGAAGCCGGCGCAAGAAGAGCACGGCUCGUCGUCCUCCGCCUCCUGGCCGCCGUCGUCGACGCAGAUCCAGAGCAUGGACGCCGCCGAGCUGCAGAGGCUCAAGGCCAAGCUGUACACCAUGAUCGAAGAGGUGGACAGGAGGUACAGGAGGUACCGGGAGCAGAUGCGGGCGGUGGCGGCGUCCUUCGAGGCGGUGGCGGGGCAGCGCGCGGCGGCGGUGUACACGAGGAUGGCGUCGCGGACCAUCUCCAGGCACUUCCGGAGCGUGAGGGACGGGGUGGCCGCGCAGGUCCGGGCGGUGCGCGGGGCGCUGGGGGAGAAGGACGCGGGGGCCGCCGUGCCCGGAAUGACCAAGGGGGAGACGCCGCGGCUGCGGGCGCUGGACCAGUGCCUCAGGCAGCACAAGGCGUACCAGUCCGGCAUGCUCGAGAGCCACCCGUGGCGGCCGCAGCGCGGCCUGCCGGAGCGCGCCGUCUCCGUCCUCCGAGCCUGGCUCUUCGAGCACUUCCUGCACCCGUACCCGAGCGACGUGGAUAAGCACAUCCUGGCGCGGCAGACGGGCCUAUCGCGGAGCCAAGUCUCCAAUUGGUUCAUCAACGCGAGGGUGCGGCUGUGGAAGCCGAUGGUGGAGGAGAUGUACGCGGAGGAGAUGAAGGACAAGGAGGAGGGCAGCGGCGGCGACGGUGGCGGCCAGUCGGCGCAGCAGGCCGGAGACCUGGCGAACCCUAACCCGGCGGCGGGGAGCUACGCCUCCGAGGGACGCGGCGAGCAGAAGCCGACCCGGGCGCAGCUGCACCAGCUGCACGACGCCGGCUCGCUGGCCUCCGUCGUGAGCAUCGGCCAGAGCACCGACCCGCAGGGCCUCAACUUCGGCAUGAUGGACCAUCUCGACUUCGACGCCUACGAGGCGGCCACGGCCGGGUUCGGCAACGGCGUGUCGCUGACGCUGGGACUUCAGCACCAGCAGCAGCAGCAGCACCACCACGGAGGCGUGAACGUUGCCGCGUUCGCCGACGCAUCCCCGUCGUCGUCGUCUGCGGCGCAUGGCGGCGCCGCCGAGUUCCUGUUCAUGGCUGGUGAGGGCGCGCACCCGUCUGCUAACGGACAGUUCGGGGCGGGCAUGGGGUCAGGCGCCGACGUCGCGUCGCAGUACCACCGGGGGCUGGGCGGGUUCCACCUCCUGCGCGACCUCGCCGGGUGA